rnacentral:rRNA from 1 species
AUUGAACGCUGGCGGCAUGCCUAACACAUGCAAGUCGAACGGCGCGGCGGACGAGUGGGUAAUUAAUAGGAAUGUGCCCGGUCGUGGGGGAUAACGUACGGAAAGGGGAGCUAAUACCGCAUCCUCUGUGCUGGGCGUAUGCCGGAGUAGCUAGUUGGUGGGGUAAAGGGCUACCAAGGCGACUAUCCGUAGCUGGGCUGAGAGGAGGAUCAGUCACACUGGAACUGGUACAGGGUCCAGACGCCUACGGGAGGCAGCAGUGGGGAAUAGUGGACAAUGGGGGAAAGCCUGAUCCAGCCAUGCCGCGUGUGUGACGAAGGCCUUCGGAUUGUAAAGCACUUUAAGGUGGGAAACGGUACCAGCAGAAUAAGCACCGGCUAACUACGUGCCAGCAGCCGCGGUAAUAC